rnacentral:lncRNA from 1 species
UUUGUGAUUGAUUCUGCCAAACUUAGUUGGCCUUACUAAAUUUCACUUUGAUUGAUUUGUGAUUGAUUGUGCCAAACUCAGUCGGUCUUACUAAACUUCGCUAGCAUCCUAGUUUAUAAUCUAUAUAAAGACUGCUCCAAUACAUUGUAAUAAACAGACAGAAAUAUAAAUUACUUUUCUCUUUCUCCACUUUCAACAGUAUACUUGCAUUGCAUGCUGCGAAAAGGAUUCAAAUGAUCAACGGUAUAGAAGGAGAGGUGCAUAGGAAAAGUAUCAUCUCAUCAUCAAUUCAUUAAAUAUUUUUUAGCCAAUCCAUCAACCAAUGAAUUUUCCAAUUCUCUAGUUGA